rnacentral:rRNA from 1 species
AGAUUGAACGCUGGCGGCAGGCCUAACACGUGCAAGUCGAGCGGUAGAGAGGUGCUUGCAUCUCUUGAGAGCGGCGGACGGGUGAGUAAUGCCUAGGAAUCUGCCUAGUGGUGGGGGACAACGUUCGGAAACGGACGCUAAUACCGCAUACGUCCUACGGGAGAAAGCGGGGGACCUUCGGGCCUCGCGCCAUUAGAUGAGCCUAGGUCGGAUUAGCUAGUUGGUGAGGUAAUGGCUCACCAAGGCGACGAUCCGUAACUGGUCUGAGAGGAUGAUCAGUCACACUGGA